ensembl:lncRNA
GUACAGAGUCAAUGUGGAGGCUAUAUACAGGGUAUUACGGUACAGAGUCAAUGUGGAGGCUAUAUACAGGGGGUACCGGUACAGAGUAAAUGUGGAGGCUAUAUACAGGGUGUUACGGUACAGAGUCAAUGUGGAGGCUAUAUACAGGGUAUUAUGGUACAGAGUCAAUGUGGAGGUUAUAUACAGGGUAUUAAGGUACAGAGUCAAUGUGGAGGCUAUAUACAGGGUAUUACGGUACAGAGUCAAUGUGGAGGCUAUAUACAGGGUAUUACGGUACAGAGUCAAUGUGGAGGCUAUAUACAGGGUAUUAAGGUACAGAGUCAAUGUGGAGGCUAUAUACAGGGUAUUAAGGUACAGAGUCAAUGUGGAGGCUAUAUACAGGGUAUUAAGGUACAGAGUCAAUGUGGAGGCUAUAUACAGGGUAUUACGGUACAGAGUCAAUGUGGAGGCUAUAUACAGGGGGUACCGGUACAGAGUCAAUGUGGAGGCUAUAUACAGGGGGUACCGGUACAGAGUCAAUGUGGAGGCUAUAUACAGGGGGUACCGAUACAGAGUCAAUGUGGAGGCUAUAUACAGGGUAUUACGGUACAGAGUCAAUGUGGAGGCUAUAUACAGGGUAUUACGGUACAGAG